rnacentral:pre_miRNA from 1 species
CGUGGGUGUAUAUCUGUGUGUGAAUGUGUAUGCAUUCUGAGGAACGAACACACACACACACACACACACACACACACACACACACACACAC